AAGAAAACCCAUCCCGCGAGCAACAGCAAGUGUCUACUUCGUUAUAGAGCUCUCCAAAGUCAAACCUGCUACCUUGCCUGUGGAGGUGUUUUUCACUCUGGAGUCCUGUAGGCUGAUUCACAGGCCAGAACAGUGUCAGUUUAGAGAAAAGUGGCUAAAGGACAUAAUUGAAAAUAAAAUAAUCCUCAUGGAAAGACUGAAUUUCUAAUG